AUAAAAAAAAAUUGUGAGAGAAUACUAUAAUUUAUACUUUUAUUCGAAUAAAUCUUUAUCGGCAUUAGAGGAAUACAGCUCGAGUGAAGGAACUUACUUUAUCUUUAGCAUCUUUUAAAUGUAUUCAUAAAUUUCAAACCUCUCCAGAUCAACAUCGAUAAAGCUUCUUCCUCUAAAUAAGGCUUACGUUGAAAUUAGCAAUCCCUUAUCAUCGUCAAAAAUUAGUGUAACUUACAGAUCAUGCUUGCUGAAGAGUCGUUGAUAAAGUCAAAAGUUUAUCCUUUUACCUUUCUAUUUAUUUAGGAAUUAGUUUGUGUUUACUUUUCUUUAAAGGAUUGUUGAGAUAAUGCAGUGGCAUGUUGGUUUAGUUAAGAUAAUCACAUUAGCACGUUGGUGCUCCUUAAACAAACAGUUGAGAUUUUUUAGGAACUCAUUUGGUAUUUAAAUAUUUCUUUAUUAAUAUUUUAAAGUGAAAUAUUUAAGUUAUUCAUUAGGAAAUAAACUUCCUGCUCUAUUUUUUAUUUGUUCAUUUAUGAUAUAUUUCAGUUCUUGAGUUUUGUUUCAUGGUAUCAGAGCUUGGUUUUAUUCUUAUUAAGUGUUUUUGAGUUUUGAUUUUUGUAGGUCGCCUGCCAAGUGUUUGAUUUUAUUCCUCAAUGAAUAUGAAUAACGAAAGCAAUAUCUCUCAAGCCUCUAUAGAAAAGCUUGUUGAUGAUCACAAAAUGUUGAAUUGCGUAAGAAGUGGAAGAUAAAAUGCGGCAAAACUUUGUUUGCCUUGCGAACAUCAAUCAACAAAGAGUACAUCGAGUAUGUUCGUGAUUUAUAAUUGCCAAAGCAAGUGUGGGAGAUACUUGAGUGGUUGUUCACCCAAAAGAAGAUAACGCGGAUGCAAUAUUUAGAGAAUGAACUUGUUGGGAUGACUCAAGGGUGGGCAACUCAACCCUCUAUCAUUGAUUUGGAGAACCUUCUCUCAAAUCAAGAAGCUAUGGUGAAACAAAUGAUCGCAACAACAAACAAUCUCUCUUAAGUGGAAGAUGUUCUUUAUACAAAAGAAAAAACAAAAAAAUAAUUUUGCUACUCAGUAUAAAGGCGAUAAUAAGCAGUUUAAAAUAGAGGGGUAUUCUAAAGAAAAUUCAAAAGUUUGUUACAGGUGUGGAAAAGAGGGACAUUCAAAUGCGAUUGUCGUGUAAAGGUGGUGUGUAAUCGAUGUGGAAAACCUGGUCAUAUCAAACACGAUUGUCGUGUCAAUCUUUCAUAAGCAGAAGCAAACAGUGUACAUGAAAGUGGUGAAUCUGAACAACCAAAAUGGGAGCAUUGCUUAUCCAUUGAAGUUAUCAACUGAUAAAUUAAUUCCAAGAUAGAUGCAGAUGCUAGUGCUUCCAUAGACUACAAUAAA